rnacentral:rRNA from 1 species
CGGACGGGUGAGUAACGCGUGGGUAACCUGCCUCAUACAGGGGGAUAACAGUUGGAAACGGCUGCUAAUACCGCAUAAGCGCACAGUACCGCAUGGUACAGUGUGAAAAACUCCGGUGGUAUGAGAUGGACCCGCGUCUGAUUAGCUAGUUGGUGAGGUAACGGCCCACCAAGGCAACGAUCAGUAGCCGACCUGAGAGGGUGACCGGCCACAUUGGGACUGAGACACGGCCCAG